rnacentral:rRNA from 1 species
CCUACGGGUGGCAGCAGUGAGGAAUAUUGGUCAAUGGACGCGAGACUGAACCAGCCAAGCCGCGUGAAGGAUGACGGCUCUAUGAGUUGUAAACUUCUUUUGUCAGGGAAUAAAGUCAGGUACGCGUACCUGUUUGAAAGUACCUUACGAAUAAGGAUCGGCUAACUCCGUGCCAGCAGCCGCGGUAAUACGGAGGAUUCAAGCGUUAUCCGGAUUUAUUGGGUUUAAAGGGAGCGUAGACGGUCGGAUAAGUUAGAGGUGAAAGCCCGAGGCUCAACCGUGGAAUUGCCUCUGAUACUGGCAGUCUAGAGAGUAGUUGAGGUAGGCGGAAUGUGUGGUGUAGCGGUGAAAUGCUUAGAUAUCACACAGAACUCCGAUUGCGAAGGCAGCUUACCAAGCUACCACUGACGUUGAGGCACGAAAGCGUGGGUAGCAAACAGGAUUAGAUACCCCGGUAGUC